UGGGGAAUAUUGCACAAUGGGCGAAAGCCUGAUGCAGCGACGCCGCGUGGGGGAUGACGGCCUUCGGGUUGUAAACCUCUUUCAGCAAGGAAGAAGCGAAAGUGACGGUACUUGCAGAAGAAGCGCCGGCUAACUACGUGCCAGCAGCCGCGGUAAUACGUAGGGCGCAAGCGUUGUCCGGAAUUAUUGGGCGUAAAGGGCUUGUAGGUGGCUUGUCGCGUCUGCCGUGAAAACUCGAGGCUUAACCUUGGGCGUGCGGUGGGUACGGGCAGGCUAGAGUGCGGUAGGGGAGACUGGAAUUCCUGGUGUAGCGGUGAAAUGCGCAGAGAUAUGGAGGAACACCAGUGGCGAAGGCGACUUUCUGGUCUGUAACUGACGCUGAUGUGCGAAAGCGUGGGGAUCAAACAGG
rnacentral:rRNA from 1 species